GUCCACGCCGUAAACGAUGAAUGCUAGCCGUUGGCGGGCUUGCCCGUCAGUGGCGCAGCUAACGCUUUAAGCAUUCCGCCUGGGGAGUACGGUCGCAAGAUUAAAACUCAAAGGAAUUGACGGGGGCCCGCACAAGCGGUGGAGCAUGUGGUUCAAUUCGAAGCAACGCGCAGAACCUUACCAGCCCUUGACAUCCCGGUCGCGAGUUUCAGAGAUGAGACUCUUCAGUUCGGCUGGACCGGAGACAGGUGCUGCAUGGCUGUCGU
rnacentral:rRNA from 1 species